rnacentral:rRNA from 1 species
UGGGGAAUAUUGCACAAUGGGGGAAACCCUGAUGCAGCGACGCCGCGUGAAGGAAGAAGUAUUUCGGUAUGUAAACUUCUAUCAGCAAGGAAGAUAAUGACGGUACUUGACUAAGAAGCCCCGGCUAACUACGUGCCAGCAGCCGCGGUAAUACGUAGGGGGCAAGCGUUAUCCGGAUUUACUGGGUGUAAAGGGAGCGUAGGUGGCAUGGCAAGUCAGAUGUGAAAGCCCGGGGCUCAACCCCGGGACUGCAUUUGAAACUGCCAGGCUGGAGUGCAGGAGAGGUAAGUGGAAUUCCUAGUGUAGCGGUGAAAUGCGUAGAUAUUAGGAGGAACACCAGUGGCGAAGGCGGCUUACUGGACUGUAACUGACACUGAGGCUCGAAAGCGUGGGGAGCAAACAGG